rnacentral:rRNA from 1 species
GACGAACGCUGGCGGCGUGCUUAACACAUGCAAGUCGAACGAUGAAGCCGGAGCUUGCUCUGGUGAAUUAGUGGCGAACGGGUGAGUAACACGUGAGUAACCUGCCCUUGACUCUGGGAUAACUGCGGGAAACUGUAGCUAAUACCGGAUACGACCCUCGGAGGCAUCUCCUGGGGGUGGAAAGAAUUUCGGUCAAGGAUGGACUCGCGGCCUAUCAGCUAGUUGGUGAGGUAAAGGCUCACCAAGGCGACGACGGGUAGCCGGCCGGAGAGGGUGACCGGCCACACUGGGACUGAGACACGGCCCAGACUCCUACGGAGGCAGCAGUGGGGAAUAUUGCACAAUGGGCGCAAGCCUGAUGCAGCAACGCCGCGUGAGGGAUGACGGCCUUCGGGUUGUAAACCUCUUUUAGCAGGGAAGAAGCGAAAGUGACGGUACCUGCAGAAAAAGCACCGGCUAACUACGUGCCAGCAGCCGCCGUAA